rnacentral:rRNA from 1 species
GACGAACGCUGGCGGCGUGCUUAACACAUGCAAGUCGAACGGAAAGGCCCUGCUUUUGUGGGGUGCUCGAGUGGCGAACGGGUGAGUAACACGUGAGUAACCUGCCCUUGACUUUGGGAUAACUUCAGGAAACUGGGGCUAAUACCGGAUAGGAGCUCCUGCUGCAUGGUGGGGGUUGGAAAGUUUCGGCGGUUGGGGAUGGACUCGCGGCUGAUCAGCUUGUUGGUGGGGUAGUGGCUUACCAAGGCUUUGACGGGUAGCCGGCCUGAGAGGGUGACCGGCCACAUUGGGACUGCGAUACGGCCCAGACUCCUACGGGAGGCAGCAGUGGGGAAUAUUGCCCAGUGGGCGGACGCCUGAUGAAGCAACGCCGCGUGCGGGAUGACGGCCUUCGGGUUGUAAACCGCUUUCGCCUGUGACGAAGCGUGAGUGACGGUAAUGGGUAAAGAAGCACCGGCUAACUACGUG